GUCCGAGUGGUGAAAUUGGUAUACACGACAAGCUUAAGUUUUGUUAACGAAAGUUGUGGAGGUUCGACCCCUUCCUCGGAUA